GAAAGAAAAAUGGAAGCGACGUGUUGUUAUUAAAUAUCGAUCCGAGCUGUCGGUUGUGUCUCUUAACGAGGCACAUCGUUAGCGGCGUGUUAUUUUUCCAAGAAUCAAUUUUUCCUGAACGUGAUGAAGCGAAAACGCAGUUUCCUUAAUAAAGUGCCAAAUUGCGGAGUUAAUAGCUUGCGUAAUUGAUGGAAACGCGACGAUCUAUAUAAUGAAAUGUUUAUGUACAUAUAUAUACAUUUCAAUUGAAUACGUACCCUCUGACUGGAACUUUCGUAACUAAAGGGACGUAUAUAUACAUCGUUGCUCAUAAUUAUUCGAUCAAUUUCGAAGGCAUAUACAUGGAUGUCACUUAUAUAAUUUACAUUUGAGAUAGGCAAAAUCUCCACCUAAUGAUACUGGAACCAAUGUAUGUCCUUCAAAUGGAAAGCACAACUGGGAUCUUCCAAUGGUGUUACAGCAGUACUCUGACUUCAGCUUUAUAAUAUUUAGGGCAGAAAUUACGGGAAAGACAGCAAAGCUGCCUCGAGUUGUUAUAUCGAAGGACAUUUGAAACCGUGGCCGAGUCUCAAAGAGGAGAAAAGAGAAAAGAAGAUACAACCAUGCGAA